rnacentral:rRNA from 1 species
UACGUAGGGGCCUAGCGUUGUCCGGAAUUAUUGGGCGUAAAGAGCUCGUAGGCGGUUCGGCAAGUCGGAUGUGAAAUCUCCACGCUUAACGUGGAGGGGCCAUUCGAAACUGCUGUGACUCGAGUCCGGUAGGGGAGUGUGGAAUUCCCGGUGUAGCGGUGGAAUGCGCAGAUAUCAGGAGGAACACCGGUGGCGAAGGCGGGUCUCUGGGCCGUUACUGACGCUGAGGAGCGAAAGCGUGGGGAGCGAACAGG